CUCGGCACUACCGUGUCAGGCUCCGGUUCCUGUUCCGGGCGGGGCGGUGCCGGCGGCGGCGGCGGAAUGGACCGGGAGCUGCUGCGUCAGGUGCUCAACUACCAUGGUCCUGAGCUGCUCUCGCUGCUCCGCGCCGAGCAGCACGACAACCCCGACUUCCGCGGGUUGCUGCCGCCGCCGGGGACCGUCCUCGAGCCGCCCCGCGGGGCCUUGCAACCGCCGGCCGCCUGCAAAGAGAGGACGAGCCUUGACACCGAGAUAAAGCGCUUCAUUGCGAAAAAAGCUGAUCUCCUUUUUGCUCACUCGUGGAGACCCAACGGACCUCUUUCCGAAACGAUUGAAGAAAAUGAAGACUAUUACGCUGUUAUGCCACCCCUGGAACGGUUCAUGGAGGUUCCUAGGGAAGAGAGGAGAGAAUUAUUUUUUCAAGACAUCGACUGUGGUGAUAUCGUGAUUGGGAAGAUUACUUCUAUUCGUGAAUUUGGCUUUUUCAUGGUGUUGAUUUGUUUGGGAAGUCGUUUCAUACGGGAAAUUUCAGAUUUAGAAAUCACUGCUCUUUGUCCUUUGAGAGAUGUGCCUUCUCAAAGCAACCAUGGAGAUCCCUUAUCUUAUUAUCAAACUGGAGACCUUAUUCGAGCUGCUGUCAAGGAUGUUGAUCGUUACCACGAGAAGCUCACGGUGUCGCUUUACAGCUCGGCUCUUCCACCCCAUCUUUGCAGUACAAAACUAGGUGUAAUUACUUCCGAUGACUUCCCACUACAUUAUAAGCGAAGCAUGGAAGUUGCUAAUACAGCAGAGACAUUUGAAGAGGUUUUGCAUCGUUCCCCAGGAUUUGGUAAUCCAUCAUUAGUUGAAUAUUUAGCAGAAAAACUAGGAAUAAGUGAAUCAAAUCCACCGUCUUUGCUAAGAAGUCUUCAAAUUAAAAAUUUCAAUGAAGAAGAUUUUGCUCCUGCAUUGAGGAAAAAGCAGUCUGAAUCAUGGGCCUUGAAAUGUGUGAAGGCUGGGGUUGAUUAUUUUAAGGUUGGGCGCCAUGUGGAAGCCAUGAAUGAGUACAACAAAGCUUUGGAAAUUGAUCCACAGAAUGUUGAAGCUUUGGUAGCACGUGGAGCUCUGUAUGCAACAAAAGGAAGUCUGAACAAAGCCAUAGGUGACUUUGAAAUUGCUUUAGAAAACUGUCCUACCCAUAGAAAUGCAAGAAAAUACCUCUGUCAGACUCUUGUGGAAAGAGGCGGGCAAUUGGAAGAGGAAGACAAACUAGUGAACGCUGAGAGUUACUAUAAGAAAGCCUUAAGUUUGGAUGAGACUUUUCAGGAAGCAGAAGAGGCCUUAACGAAACUCCGUAAGCAUAUGCAGGUGAUUCUUUACUUUCUCUUCAUAUAGUGCUCUCAGUGACAAUAAACAUCAAAAAUCAUAUUAGAUCUUUUGAACAAGGAGCGUUUAAGUUGGUGGUUUGUCUUAUUCUCUGCUUCCCUUCUUUAAAGUAAAUCUUUUAUAGUGAGCAUUAUGGCUGUACCUAUCAGAAGAAGGUACCUCUUGAUGACUUCACUGUUUUGAACAGGAUAGUAAAGAAACAGGGAAAAGAGCAAAGCCUGUUAACCCUGUCAGCUAUAGCAAGGAUAAGAAUAUUCCGUCAUACAAGCAUGAUUAAUAGUGUUAAAUUAUAACAUUCUGUGAAUAUAAACACACAAAGUGUAAACUUGAGCAAGCCAGAUAAACAUUUCACACCAUUUUACUGGCCAAAUCCUUGUCAUUUGGAGUAAUUGCAGAAAUAUAGGGUAACACCAGCCAAAGCUAACUCACAGGAAGAUCACAUGAGAGGGGAAAUGGAAGAGGUAUUUUAAAAGAAAACAGCAGGAGGUGGAGGGUGGGCAGACAGUUUGACUGUCCUAGCUUUCUUCUCUGCUGUCUGUUUUUGUUUUAUUUUCUCACUUCUCUUGCAUGCAGCAUGUUUCCCAGGAGAGCCCUGGUGGGUCGCUCUGCUAAUCUGAGUUAAAAUUGGUUUUCUUUUAUUUUCCUCCUUAACUUGUGUUGCCUUCCAGAGGGGAUCAAAGAGUGAAGUAGAGCACUGAGGAGCAGGCUUGUUUAGUUCUCUGUUUCUGUGUGUAACAAGUACAUAGACUGGGGUAGAUGGCCUUAAUCAACACUUCUUCGGUUGGUGGAGCCAUAAUGCUGACAGACUGUUGAAAGAAAGGGGAAGAGGAGAUGUGACAAUCUCUUUAAUAAAACUGAAUUACAUCAUAGCUAAACUAUUAUAUAGUACUUGAGCCAUGUUUGGCUGCUUUAGAAAGAGGUGUCAGUCUCCGUUAAAAUGAAGAAUAUACUUAGCAAGUAGGAGACUAAUUUUACACUCCUUUAGGGUUUCCUAGUGUAAUGGGUCAUUGAAGCAGCAAAUAAAAGUCACAAUGAUAGCUAUUGUUUGUUGGUUUGCAUAGCCUUAACUGCAAUUAAGUGUUUCCUUUACAAUAUCUGUUAAGACAGUUGCGAAGUUUUGAAAGCAAUCAGACUUUCUGCUCACUCUAAAUAUGAAUAGAGCUACUCUGCAGGGCUGUGGAGUGCAGAUAUCUGAUCUCUAGUAGGCUUAUGUAGUUUAAGGAUUAUUCAUCUGGUGAGAUGCAAUUUUGCUUUACCUGUAUUUUAAUACAUAAGUCUGAAUCUGUUGCUGUUGUGAGAGAAUGGCUAAAGCAACACUGGAGUAUGUUUUCCUGUAAUACUGAUUAUGUGUUUUUCUCUAAUGCAUUUUCUUCCGAAUUGGACCGUUGUUGCUGUAUCUGACAUCUGGUGCUGCUCAUCACCCAUAAACCCUUGGAACAUGAUUUCUUACGUAAACUAUGCAUCAAACUGGUCUGUGAAAUUGUUACCAAACGGUUUGUAUUCAAACAUGGCCAACUUGAAUACAUUUUAAAAUUCUGCCAUGUUUUACUUGUAAACUACAAUACUACAAUAAUGAUACUUUCCCUAAAACCUUUCUCUCUCUUGGGGUUUGGUUGUUUUGGGUUUUUUUGGUUUUGUUUCUGGUUUUGGGUUUUUUUUUUUUGUAUUCUCCAUGUUGGUAAUACUGUGUUCUCUGGCACAUUCUAUCUAUGCUUUCUGGGCUCCAUGCUUCACGGUGUGCUGGAUCAUGGGUACCACUGCAAUGAAAUCUUUGGAAAUGAGGGAGAAACAAGCUGCCAAAGAAGAGAGACAGAAAGAAAAGAAGGUAGAAACAAGUGCAGAAAAAUUGCGUAAGCUCUUAAAAGAAGAAAAAAGGUUGAAGAAGAAAAGGAAAGUUUCAACUUCCUCCUCUUCCUCAUCAUCCUCAAGUGAUUCUUCAUCAGAUGUAUCAAUUUCUUCUUCCUCCUCUUCCUCUGAUCACAAGAAACGUAGGAAGAAGCGUCGGAAUAGAUCCGAGUCUGCCCAUAGCUCCAAAAAAUGCUCAUCUAGAGUUUCUUCCCAUUAUAAAGAUCAGAUUAGGAAAGAGGAGUGUUAUUCACCUCCAGCUGAUACCUCUGCUUCGUUUCUUAACCAAAGCUUUGAAGUGGAGAAACUGCUGGAAAGGCAGGACAGCUUAGCAUGUCCAAAAACAGAGGUAAAAGAGAAAGACAGACACCGUUCUUUUUCAAGGACUUCAGGUGAUGAUGAAGACACUUUUGGAGGUAGGUCUGAAGCUUCAAGAGAUUCUUACAGUAGCUCCAGAACACUGCCAAGCAGUAGCAAAACUGAAAAAUAUGGUAAAACAGAUCGAUUUUUCUCCAGUUGGAGGGAUUCCUCAGGUUCAUAUCGUAAGUCAUAUGAUAAACCCAGUAUGCAUUAUUUUAGGAGAUCGGAAAGGGAUGUAGAGGGGAGAAAAGAGCCAUUUAAAAAACAUGGCUCAGGUCAUGACAGGUAUUACGUGUCUCCAGCAGGGUCUAACUAUUCUGGGAAGUCGGCAGGAAAAUACAGAUCAUAUUCUAGCACCUCCUUCCAUGAAGGUGAUAAAAGUUAUGAUAGCGAUAUGCAUGUGUUAAGUAAACAUAAAAAUGAAAGUGAGUGUAAGAGUAGGAAAAGAAGUUCUGAGGAGACUAGCAAAACGAAGGAACCAGAUGAGGAAACGUCUUUAAAUGGCACAGGGCAAACAGACAGUGGCAUUAAAAGAAACCUGCCUCAGAACUUAGUUAACAUAUUCAAUCAAAUAGCUGAGUUUGAGAGGGAGAAAGGAAGUAAGCAGAAGAAAGAGUGAAGUAACUAAGAAAACGCAACGCUCAUGAGAGUAGUUAAACUUUCAUUCGAGUAGUUCUUGAGGAAAUGUAAAUGAAGAACAGUAGAAAGGCAGAAUUUGUUCUGUCUUGGAGAAUGUCAGAGAAUUAUUAAAGCAAAGAUUAUAUGGUGGAAAGAGAUGCAAGGAUAUCUUCCAGAAAAAUACCAGUUAUUUCUUAAAAUCUAAGUUUCCAAUGCUCUUAAUUUGGGAUGCUGCUGUACAAUAUUCUCUGAAAUCCUUUGAUACCCCUGGACUGUAGUUAGCUGCAACUCACAUCAAAUAUGCACUUUAAUAUGGGGUUUGUUUGGUUUUUCUUGUCCCCGCGGGUACUAUUGACUUGGUAUUUUGUUAGCAAUCUUCAGCUAUAGAAAGGGGAUAACUGAAUAAAAGUCAUGUGCCAUCAAUGUACAUAGUUCAUUUGCUCAUUAAAUUUUCUUAAUUUUUCUUA